GACGGAGGAUGCAAGCGUUAUCCGGAAUGAUUGGGCGUAAAGCGUCUGCAGGUGGCAGUUCAAGUCUGCUGUCAAAGACCGGGGCUUAACUUCGGAAAGGCAGUGGAAACUGAACAGCUAGAGUAGUGGUAGGGGCAGAGGGAAUUCCUGGUGUAGCGGUGAAAUGCGUAGAGAUCAGGAAGAACAUCGGUGGCGAAGGCGCUCUGCUGGACCAUAACUGACACUCAGGGACGAAAGCUAGGGGAGCGAAUGGG
rnacentral:rRNA from 1 species